rnacentral:rRNA from 1 species
AACACAUGCAAGUCGAACGGUAACAGGAAGCAGCUUGCUGCUUCGCUGACGAGUGGCGGACGGGUGAGUAAUGUCUGGGAAACUGCCUGAUGGAGGGGGAUAACUACUGGAAACGGUAGCUAAUACCGCAUAACGUCGCAAGACCAAAGAGGGGGACCUUCGGGCCUCUUGCCAUCGGAUGUGCCCAGAUGGGAUUAGCUAGUAGGUGGGGUAACGGCUCACCUAGGCGACGAUCCCUAGCUGGUCUGAGAGGAUGACCAGCCACACUGGAACUGAGACACGGUCCAGACUCCUACGGGAGGCAGCAGUGGGGAAUAUUGCACAAUGGGCGCAAGCCUGAUGCAGCCAUGCCGCGUGUAUGAAGAAGGCCUUCGGGUUGUAAAGUACUUUCAGCGGGGAGGAAGGCGAUAAGGUUAAUAACCUUGUCGAUUGACGUUACCCGCAGAAGAAGCACCGGCUAACUCCGUGCCAGCAGCCGCGGUAAUACGGAGGGUGCAAGCGUUAAUCGGAAUUACUGGGCGUAAAGCGCACGCAGGCGGUCUGUCAAGUCGGAUGUGAAAUCCCCGGGCUCAACCUGGGAACUGCAUUCGAAACUGGCAGGCUAGAGUCUUGUAGAGGGGGGUAGAAUUCCAGGUGUAGCGGUGAAAUGCGUAGAGAUCUGGAGGAAUACCGGUGGCGAAGGCGGCCCCCUGGACAAAGACUGACG